AUAGUAAAAUGAUGUUGGAAUGGCUCAAUCAAAUCAAAUUUCUCAAAGUAUUGGGUCAUUUCAUUUGAUUGAGCCGUGCCAAUAUCAUCUUACUUAUA
rfam:Solanum lycopersicum cultivar Heinz 1706 chromosome 3, whole genome shotgun sequence.